rnacentral:rRNA from 1 species
UACGUAGGGUGCGAGCGUUAAUCGGAAUUACUGGGCGUAAAGGGCGCGUAGGCGGCCUUCUAAGUCGAACGUGAAAUCCCUGGGCUCAACCCAGGAACUGCGUCCGAUACUGGAAGGCUUGAAUCCGGGAGAGGGAUGCGGAAUUCCAGGUGUAGCGGUGAAAUGCGUAGAUAUCUGGAAGAACACCAGUGGCGAAGGCGACUCGCUGGACAAGUAUUGACGUUGAGGUGCGAAAGCGUGGGGAGCAAACAGG